CAAGAAUUGGCAUCCCUGGGCUCAGGCAGCAUGGUUUUCUGUCUCUGACAUGGCCCCAAGGGCAUUAAGUGGCACAAGGGUACUGCACCUCUGUUGUAAGACUCUACAACACAAGCAGUUAACUCUUUCAGUACCUUGGGUCCUAACAUUCUCUCAUUUUAGAAAAUGUGAAUCUGCCCACCAUUCUCAGAACUAACCGCCGCGAGUGCUGAGUGCCCUGGAAGAACAGAGGGAGAUAUUCCAGAAGGUCGUCACUCUGGCGGGAGACGGAGGUGGCCAACGAAAAAGAAGUCCAUGUCCCAGCAGGCUGAAGUGAAGUAGGAGAAAAUCUCUGGCCGUGGGUCCAUCAGUGACACUCUGCGUCUUUUCUUUCAGAAGAGGGGCUAGAGCAGACAGAACGCUUAGAGGUUGCAAUGGGCAAGAGAGCGGGAAGGAAAGCGACGACAGAGAGCUGCCAGGGAGUCUAAGAGGCUGCAUCCUUCAGGCGGCGCGAGAAAGGGUCUUCAGCUCCAGAUCAAGAUUCCGAAGAGUUAAAUAUUACUGCGCAGCCCGACCUGGAUGGGAUUUGCUUCUGGGUACAAAACGGGACACUGAUCAAAAUCAACUUGGACAAGUGACAAGACUGAGUCUGAUGAUUGUGGAUGUCUUUUAAGGUCGUUGGAGGGGAGAGGAUGGGAGGCGGUGUGCUCAGGGGUAGGUGGAGGGAAGCAUCAAAUCCAGGGAUAUAAAGGGACACGGAGCCGGGAAACAGAGGACAAAAUGCGUGGGGAAAGAGAGAGAGGAAGAGUUGAAGAAAAGUAAGGGGAAAGUAGGGACAGGGUUAAGGGGAGAGAGGAGGAUAAGAGAGAAGUGAGGGCGGCUAGGAGGGAUUAAAAAGGGAAAGGGGAUCGCCGGAGAGAAGGGCGGACGGCUGGCUCGGGAGGUGGGGAGGCGGCGAGGGGAGCGAGCGGGCGGGGGGCGCAGAGAGCGGCGAGGGGGCUGGAGAGGAG
rnacentral:lncRNA from 1 species